GGCCAGAUAGCUCAGUUGGUAGAGCAGAGGACUGAAAAUCCUCGUGUCGGUGGUUCGAUUCCACCUCUGGCCACCA
rnacentral:tRNA from 1 species